GUUUAUGCUCCGCCGAUGGCCAAGUUGGCAAGGCGCAGACUAGAAAUACUGAGAUCAUUGAUUCGAAUCCAACUCAAAACA